UAGGGAAUCUUCCGCAAUGGGCGAAAGCCUGACGGAGCAACGCCGCGUGAGUGAUGAAGGUCUUCGGAUCGUAAAACUCUGUUAUUAGGGAAGAACAAAUGUGUAAGUAACUAUGCACGUCUUGACGGUACCUAAUCAGAAAGCCACGGCUAACUACGUGCCAGCAGCCGCGGUAAUACGUAGGUGGCAAGCGUUAUCCGGAAUUAUUGGGCGUAAAGCGCGCGUAGGCGGUUUUUUAAGUCUGAUGUGAAAGCCCACGGCUCAACCGUGGAGAGUCAUUGGAAACUGGAAAACUUGAGUGCAGAAGAGGAAAGUGGAAUUCCAUGUGGAGCGGUGAAAUGCGCAAAGAUAUGGAGGAACACCAGUGGCGAAGGCGACUUUCUGGUCUGUAACUGACGCUGGUGUGCGAAAGCGUGGGGAUCAAACAGG
rnacentral:rRNA from 1 species